AACGAACGCUGGCGGCAUGCCUAACACAUGCAAGUCGAACGAGACCUUCGGGUCUAGUGGCGCACGGGUGCGUAACGCGUGGGAACCUGCCCUUAGGUUCGGAAUAACUCCCCGAAAUGGGUGCUAAUACCGGAUAAUGUCUUCGGACCAAAGAUUUAUCGCCUUUGGAUGGGCCCGCGUUGGAUUAGCUAGUUGGUAGGGUAAAAGCCUACCAAGGCGACGAUCCAUAGCUGGUCUGAGAGGAUGAUCAGCCACACUGGGACUGAGACACGGCCCAGACUCCUACGGGAGGCAGCAGUGGGGAAUAUUGGACAAUGGGCGAAGGCCUGAUCCAGCAAUCCCGCGUGAGUGAUGAAGGCCUUAGGGUUGUAAAGCUCUUUUACCCGGGAUGAUAAUGACAGUACCGGGAGAAUAAGCUCCGGCUAACUCCGUG
rnacentral:rRNA from 1 species